UUGAGUAUGCCACGUAUGGAAAUUCAAGAUGCUCUAUGUUUGAAACAUAGGGGAUCUUGAAUUUCCAUGUCUGUUGUACCUGA
rnacentral:pre_miRNA from 1 species